UACAGAGGGGGCAAGCGUUAUUCGGAAUUAUUGGGCGUAAAGGGCGCGUAGGCGGCCUGGCAAGUGGAAGGUGAAAUCCCUCGGCUUAACCGAGGAACUGCCCUCCAAACUGCUUGGCUUGAGACCGGGAGAGGUGAGUGGAAUUCCCAGUGUAGCGGUGAAAUGCGUAGAUAUUGGGAGGAACACCAGUGGCGAAGGCGGCUACCUGGACCGGUUCUGACGCUGAGGCGCGAAAGCGUGGGUAGCAAACAGG
rnacentral:rRNA from 1 species